UACGAAGGGGGCUAGCGUUGCUCGGAAUCACUGGGCGUAAAGCGCACGUAGGCGGAUUGUUAAGUCAGGGGUGAAAUCCUGGAGCUCAACUCCAGAACUGCCUUUGAUACUGACGAUCUCGAGUCCGGGAGAGGUGAGUGGAACUGCGAGUGUAGAGGUGAAAUUCGUAGAUAUUCGCAAGAACACCAGUGGCGAAGGCGGCUCACUGGUCCGGUACUGACGCUGAGGUGCGAAAGCGUGGGGAGCAAACAGG
rnacentral:rRNA from 1 species